AGGUGUUGAUCCUGGCUCAGAUUGAACGCUGGCGGCGUGCCUAACACAUGCAAGUCGAGCGGUAACAGGUGUAGCAAUACAUGCUGACGAGCGGCGAACGGGUGAGUAAUGCUUUGGAAUCUUCCCAGUAGUGGGGAAUAACCAGUCGAAAGAUUGGCUAAUACCGCAUACGUCUGUAAAGGGAAAGCGGGGGCUCGUAAGACCUCGCGCUAUUGGAUGAGCCAAAGUCGGAUUAGCUUGUUGGUGGGGUAAUGGCCUACCAAGGCGACAAUCCGUAGCUGGUCUGAGAGGACGACCAGCCACACCGGAACUGAGACACGGUCCGGACUCCUACGGGAGGCAGCAGUGGGGAAUAUUGGACAAUGGGGGAAACCCUGAUCCAGCGACGCCGCGUGUGUGAAGAAGGCCUGCGGGUUGUAAAGCACUUUUAGUGGG
rnacentral:rRNA from 1 species